CAGUUUGUUCCAUUUACGCACGUAUGCUUUUAUAAUAUCAUAUCCCUGCAAUCUGAACAAGCACGGAAAAUCACAAUGCCCUGUUGUCGAGAAGUGAAACAGCAAGUCCGAUAGGAGGAAUUGAGUGCAAUCCAUUGGAUAUUGUGUCAUUCUUUGCGUCAUCAACUGUGCUAUCCAUUGUAUCUUGCAGAUUGUCAUCCAUGGCGUCAUUCAUUGUGGCGUGUCAUCCAGUGGGUAUCUGAUCGCCGUGUUAUUGUUCUACCAAUCUUGUGGUAGAAACUCGGACUAGACUCAAAACGUCACUGGCAUGUGGAUGUUUCCAAAAUGGGAUGCAAACAGACCAAGGUUAAACCUUUGAAGCAGAAAUUUGCUGAAAAUGGUCUGACAAGCAAGAACAACUGUCCUCUCCAGCUGGACUACGCCCAGUGCCAGGUGACACCGUCCACAUCCCGUCUGUCAGGAGACGGAGGUUCUUCAACAACUGCAGGAUGAGGGAUUGGUCCUCGACCGUCAGACCAGCGGAGGAGUGGCCUUCUUUGUCCCCGCCGGGAUGGGGGUCGUUCCCCGUGGAAAAGCUCCCCAUCGUCCUAGGGAAAUCCCAUUCCGAGGGCACUAUACCGCUGAAGAGAAACAAAUCAUAGCGGAUGUCUUCAGAUAUGAUAAGUUGGUGGAACAAGUACAAAGGAAACAACUGGACAGGGAAAUAAAGCACAAAGCUGUCAAGGACGAGAAGAAACGUCGCGAGUUCAUCAAGAAAAUGAAGGCGGAGUACCAGCUUCAGGCGAGGGAAGAGAAACUGAAGAAGCUGGAGGAAAAGCGGGCGGCAGUGAAGAGGAAGCCAGCCAAAAUAUAGAGUUUGGGGCGGUUCGGGGUGAACAGAGGGGCGUGGGAUGAUGUAGGGGUAGGGGUGGGGGUUAUGGUAGGGAUAGGCUUCGAUGUAAGGCAGAAGGAGUAGGGUAGGGGUAGAAGUACCACGUGUGGUGAGGGCAUGAUUAGGGGCAACGGUUCUGAUUUUUAAACUUGAGAACCAAGAAACCAGAGCUUAUCUUAUAGAGCGCAUGAUACUACGGUUGUACACAUACUUACCGAAACUGAAAGGCAUAACUGAAGAGACUGUUACAGUAAAUUGUUUUUACCUGCUAUAGCCUUUAAAAUACUGCUUCAACGCUUAUAUUUGAACACGCAUAGUACACACAAACCUGUUUUACAGAUCUAUCAGGCACUUUGUGUUGAUUUAUUUUUUCCAAAACGUAACGUCUUUUUCUUAUUCAACGAGUAUUGUGAUGCUUUGUUAAAUGAACAGAUCCAAACUGACCAUAUAUUACGAGCGCUUCCUUCACCUCCUAUAUAUGUUGACACACAUGGGAUUAAGAGUUAUCUCCCAUCAUUCAUUCAAUCUGGGAUUCAACACCCCGUAGACUUUCUUUUGAGUUUGAAACACACAAAAAACACGUUUUAAACCACGUCGGAGAACUCUGGGUCAGACUUUAGUCACUGUUUCAGAUCAAAAGCAACAACCUAAAUAUAAUGUCGCUGUCAAAUAGGUAUACUCAUUCACAUCUAUCCAGAGU